UGUGCCAAUUCAUAUUUUUUGUGUAUCAAAUUGUGCUUAUUUUCUAAAGAAAUAAAAGAAAGUCUUUAAAAGAGCUUUAAGAAUUGCAUGAUUUCAUAUUUUGGUUUUUGUGCCCCAAUGCUCUUAUUAUCAUAAAAGAACUUUGAAGUCAUUAAGAAUUAAUGAUCCAACAUAAUGAUAUGUUUUUCAAGUAUAUAAGUUUUUGAUCUUUUACUCUGAGAAUUAAUUAAAUUGCUCUCAUGAUUGAUAAAAUACUUAAUAGAUUGGGCAAAAGAUCUUAAAUGAACAAGCUUUCACACUUAUUAUUGAAGAGAGGUUAGAUUUCCACUCGUGUUUUCUUUGAAUAUCAUUUGUGGGACUUCUUGAAUUAACUUGAUUAGAAAACUAUCUAUGGUAUCAAAUUAGAAAACUUCUUGGAAUCACAUUAGAUGCGCUCUCAUCAUAAUUUGCUCUAAAAUUAUCCAAAAUGGCUCUGAUCUAUGCUCAUUUAUCCUUUUCACUAUCUUUUUGAUGUUGUCAAAAAGGGGGAGAAAUAUCUGAGUAUAUGUAUACUCAUAAUGCUUUAUGUGUUGCAUUUACUCCAAGUUUUGUCAAAAAGGGAGAGUAGAACCAAUAUGGAAUGCAAAAUGCAAAAUUUAAACUCAUACUUGAAAUUUUAAUUAGAAUCAACAAAAUGAAAAGAUAAAAUUGAAGAAUAUUGGCUUUAAGACAAUUGUCCUUCUGGAAAAGAAAGGGGGAGUCAAAAGUAUUUGGUUUUUAAUUGUUGUUAGCAUCAAUAUUUCAUCAAUUUACAUCUUAACUUGAUUCAAAUUCAGUUGAUAUGCUAAAAUUGCUCAAGAGCUACUAAGAUCAAUACUUAUGCAU
rnacentral:lncRNA from 1 species